ensembl:snRNA U4 U4 spliceosomal RNA
AGCUUUGUGCAGUGGCAGUAUCAUAGCCAAUGAGGUUUAUCCAAGGCACGAUUAAUGCUAAUUGAAAACUAAAAGAAUAAAAUGAG